rnacentral:rRNA from 1 species
GAUGAACGCUGGCGGCGGGCUUAACACAUGCAAGUCGAAGGGAAAGGCCCGGCUAUUGUGGGGUGCUCGAGUGGCGAACGGGUGAGUGAGACGUGAGUAACCUGCCCCUGACUUUGGGAUAACGUCAGGAAACUGGGGCUAAUACCGGUUAGGAGUUCCUGCUGCUUGGUGGGGGUUGGAAAGUUUCGGCGGUUGGGGAUGGACUCGCGGGUGAUCAGCUGGUUGGUGGGGUAGUGGCUUAACAGGGCUUUGACGGGUAGCGGGCCUGAGAGGGUGACCGGCCACAGUGGCACAGAGAUACGGCCCGGAGUCGUGAGGGAGACAGCAGUGGGGAAGAUUGCCCGAUGGGGGGAAGCAGGGUGCAGGAACGCCGCGUUCGGGAUUACGGCCUUCUGUUAUGAGACGGUUUUCGCCUGGAAGGGUGCGUGAUUGACGGUACUGGAUAAAGAAGCACCGGCUAAUUACGUG